GUCCAUGCCGUAAACGAUGUCAACUAACCGUUGGGUUUCUUUGAAACUUAGUGGUGGAGCUAACGUAUUAAGUUGACCGCCUGGGGAGUACGGUCGCAAGACUAAAACUCAAAUGAAUUGACGGGGGCCCGCACAAGCGGUGGAGCAUGUGGUUUAAUUCGAUGCAACGCGAAGAACCUUACCUACCCUUGACAUCCAGAGAAUCUGUUAGAGAUAGUAGAGUGCCUUCGGGAGCUCUGAGACAGGUGCUGCAUGGCUGUCGU
rnacentral:rRNA from 1 species